rnacentral:lncRNA from 1 species
CCUGCCUCAGCCUCCCAAAGUGCUGAGAUUACAGGCGUGAUUUAUUUUUAAUACGGACAGUCUUGCUAUGUUGGCCAGGGUGGUCUCAAACUCCUGGCCUCAAACAAUCCUCCCGCCUCAAGUGCUAGGAUUACAGGUGUCAGCUACCGUGGUCACCCAGCUUUACUGAUAUAUAACUUACAUACCAUCAAUUUCACCUCUUUCAGUAUAUAAUUCAAUGAAGUUUAUCAUGUAUUUACAGAAUUGUACAACCAUCAUCACAAUCUAAAUUUAGAAAGCUUGCAUCAUCCUAAAAAGACACCUCAGGCUGGGCUUGGUGGCUCACACCAGUGGAUCACGCUUGUGGCUCACUUUGGGAGGCCGAGG